rnacentral:rRNA from 1 species
GGGAUCAUUACUGAGUGAGGGCCCUCGGGCCCGACCUCCCACCCUUUUGUGAACACAACUUGUUGCUUCGGGGGCGACCCUGCCGUUUCGCGGCGAGCGCCCCCGGAGGCCUUCCAACCCUGCAUCUUUGCGUCGGAGUUUAAGUAAAUUAAACAAAACUUUCAACAACGGAUCUCUUGGUUCUGGCAUCGAUGAAGAACGCAGCGAAAUGCGAUAAGUAAUGUGAAUUGCAGAAUUCAGUGAAUCAUCGAAUCUUUGAACGCACAUUGCGCCCUCUGGUAUUCCGGAGGGCAUGCCUGUUCGAGCGUCAUUUCACCACUCAAGCCUGGCUUGGUAUUGGGCGCCGCGGUGUUCCGCGCGCCUCAAAGUCUCCGGCUGAGCUGUCCGUCUCCAAGCGUCGUGAUUUCAUUAAUCGCUUCGGGGGCGGGCGGCCGCGGCCGUUAAAUCUUUCACCAGGUUGACCUCG